CCAGGACUACAUUUAGCCCUGUGACCGGAGAUGGCCUUACCAUCCUAAAUUAGUAGACUACUCGUGGAUUUGCUCUCCAUAUGUUUACUUUGUCUGUUCACUUGUACAGUGUUGGGCAUGUCGGAGAUAUAUCCUUUUUCGCUUUGACUAGCAUUCUAAACAUGCAAUAUGCACACGUAACCAAAUUGAAUGCCCCUCUCUUCCCAGCGCCGCACUGCCCCAUUUGGGGACGAGGUCUGUCCCUCCUCCCCUCUCCUUCUCUUUCGUGCUGCUACCUCCAUAUCUUCCCUGCCUUGGUUUCUUUUGGUGGGUCUGGUCUUAUACCUUCGAUUUGAGCCUGUUUUGGUUGUGCAUGUGGUUUUCUUGGUGAGGUUGUUUGCUUCUCCAUCUUGUGGUGUGGUGACUACUUAAGCCUUAGGCUCUGCUAUGAGAUUUGAUGUCUCAUAACGAUUUUGUGUCCCCCUUUCUUUGCCAAGCACCCCAUACAACCAAAUCUACUUCCUCCUCCACAUUCCAUCCUCUUCUUGCCUUUUCCUCAUUCUGGAUUUAGGUUCUCCUGUGGGUUACAUCAACUACUUCUAUAUGCGUUUUUCCUCGUCUGCCUAGGAAUGUGCUUCAAGCUCUUGCUACGGUUCUAGCUCUGGUGCUUGCACCACUACUUUCCACUCUCUUGGUGUUGAUCUACAAGUAUAUACCAUGGUGUUGUUGUGAUUGGUUGUUGUUUUUCCUUGGGUUCAUUGGCGGAUUUGGGUGCGAUGGAGGAGGUGACUCUUGGAUGAUUGUGGGUGUGUUGAUGUAUUUAUGUGUUUUGCGAAAUUUUUGUUCUUGACGGAUGAUCAGUGGGUCUCUAUGUGCAGUGGUGUUGAUUUGUGUGGAGGAAGUGUUUCUCCUCUUUUGUGGCCAUUUUGGUGCAGUCCCUGUUCCCUUAGCGAUGAUGGUGGUUUUUUUUUUUUUUUUACUUUGUUUGAUUUUGUGAUGGAGAAGAUUUAUUGUGCUAGACUGUAUUGGUUUUAGCUUAAUCUUUCAUAUGCUUGUUGUACUCUGUUCAUGACCUCUUCGGCUCCUAUAUUUGUUAGGGGUGGGCACUCAAACCGGUGAACCGAAAAUCCGAGCCGAACCACACCGAAUCAAACCGGAAAAAAACCGAAUUGAUCAAAAAGUAAAAAACCAGUCAAAAACCGAAUCGGACCGGUUUGGACAGGUUCCGGAUCCGGUUCCAUGUCUUCAAAAACCAAACCGGGCCGAACCGAACUGGUGAAACUAAAAAAAUAUAUAAUUUAAAUAUAUAUUUAUAUUUAAUGCUAUAUUUUUAAUUUCACUAAAAAAAACCUAAUAUUUAUCCAAGUUCAAUGUCAAAAUAUCUCUCUUUUCUCACUUUAAUAUUUAUUUUUUAUAUGAAAUUGAAUAAUUUGUUAAUUUUCAAGUAAAAAAAUAAUAUUUCAGUUGAGAAUUGUAUUAAAAAAUAAUUUUUAUAAUCCGGUUCAAAAUCGAACUGGAACCGGAACCAGACAGAAACCGGUUCAAACCAAACCGGACAGUUUUUGAAAUUUUUUUAUUAAAACUGAACCGAACCAAACCGGAUGAAUAGUACCGAAUCGGUUUUAAUUUGAGGCAAAAACCGGUUCAAACCGAACCGUACCCACCCUUAAUAUUCGCUAUUUUUCCUUCCUUUUUUUUUGGGGUUUGAAUGAACUUCAAAAAAAAAAAAAACAAAAAAAAAACCGAUUGCUGUUUAUGAGUGAGUGAGAAAGAAGAGUAGGAAAAGUAUUGAUUUUCUAACCCAUCUUUUUUCAUUUCUUUUUCCAAAGUAUUAUAAUCAAGUUUUAUCCUCAUAAUCACACAAGUUUGUAUUAUUGUUGGACAGGUGGAUCUCUUUGUAAAACCUGAAACUAUUAAGAAACAGACAAGGGGUUUGGUAAAAGCAAGAAAAGGAAACCAAUCGCUAAUCACAAGUGAUUCUGCUUUUAAUUAGCUAACCUAUUUGGGCACUAGUAGUAUAUUAUUAUCUUUUCUAAUACACCAUUCAAACAACUUUUAAGAAUUCAAUUCAUCUACCAAAAGUUGCCCACAUCGGGGGAUGCUCGUGUAUCAUGAGCAUCAAGUGAUUCAAAUACGAGAGACCGAGGAAGAUAAGGGAAAGGGACAAUGGUUGGAAUUCCAGCAUACUUUUUGUGGAAUAUACUUAAAUGCGUUCGAUGAGUAAUACGUGCACACACCAACUCUUGUCCUAACCCGCUUUCAUUGAAUGGACCCACUCAUGACUCUCACAGUAUGUGCAAGAGUUAUGAUAAAAUACAGUUGAAAAAGAGUUUGGUGUGUCUAGCAUUAUACUCGAGUAAAAGACCAUUUUAAAGAGUGCUGUUAUUUCCACUCAUCUGUCAUAUUUUCUCACCCACAUUAUUUUUAAAAUUUUAAAAACAAAUUUAUUCUUUUGUAAAAUGACUUAUAAGUACAAAUGCCCCUCCUCCCUCUCCACGUACGCUCUUGUCCUCACUAUCUCCCUCUCUGAACUUUCUCCCAGUCUCCUCCUACCUCUCAAGGCGUUCUCUCUCUCUCCCUCUCUGUAUAUGCUUGCAUGUUUUUGAACUUUGAAGUGGAACUUCAGUUUGCAUAGUGUUCUUGUGGUUGAUUUAGUUUGUGGGUUUUAAUCGUUGUACAACUUGAUGAAGAUGGUUGGUUUGUUUUUUUUUGUUUUUGUGCAGCAAAUGCAAUCCAGAAUGUGGUGAUAAUUGUUUGUGUUGUUUCUGUUAGCUUUCUCACUAGGAGUCGUAGGUUCAACUAUGAAUUUUACAGUUUUAAGGGUAAAAGGCCCUCAAUGCAGGAUUAUUUUGAGGCAAAUAUAUCUGACGUUGAUGGCCAGAUGGUUUCAUUUUUUGGUGUUUUUGAUGGUACAAUAAAAUUCAAGUUGUUCAUUCGGGAAUUUGUAGGACUUAAAUAAUUAGUAAUUAUAGGGUAUUUUAGGAAUAAUGGUGGGUGUAAAGAAAAGAUUGUAUUUUUUUAAAUGUACAUAGUGGGUGGGAAGAUAAGGUGGGUGGGAAGAUAAGGUGGGUGGAAAAAUAGGAUUGGGGGAUGGAAAUAGUAGCACUCAUUUUAAAAUAUUGCGACAACAAAACUAGGGCUCGUUUGGUAUUCUACUUAAAAAAUGAACUCAAAAAUCAUGAGUUUUUAAAUACUGAUUUUAGGAUCUAAAAACUUGUUUGGUAUUGAACUCGAAACUAUUUUAAGAUCUAAAAAAAUUAAAUUAAAAUUAAAAAAAAUCAAAAACCCUAAUUCCCAAUUAAAAUUAAAAAAAGAAAAGGAGAGAGAGAGAGAGAGAGAGAGAGAGAGAGAGAGAGAGAGAGAGAGAGAGAGAGAGAGAGAGAGAGAAAUUGUAAAACCUCACUUUUUAUUUAUUUAUUUAAAUAAUGAGGGUGUUUAAAAUCUGUUUUUGAGUUUAUAAAAUUAGAUCCAAGUAGAAUACCAAAAGACCCCUUAGACAUCCAAUGGAAUAACACACUCUCUAUCUUAUAUAAGAAAAUUAACUGCACAAAACAAGAACCGUGCGACGACCAAGGCAAAGACAUCUUUUCAUUUCUUGGUGAGCUCCAUCUCUAUUAGAGAGGUAGUACACAAGUUGCUAUCUAAAGUUAGUCUCCCUAGCAUGCAUAUCGUUGUCUUGCCUAAUUCUAUUAACAGCUAAGAAAAAAAAAUUAUUAUUGUGCAUAUUUCUUGUGCUUUGGAAAUUGGAAUAGCAAGUACAGAUUCUGAUCACUUUCACAGCAACUCAUGAAGCCCAUUUUUCACUGAAUCUUAAGUUGCACCAACAAGGUUUAGUAAAAUUUAAAAAGCAACAUUGUCAUACCAAAGCACUAACAUAAACAGGAUUACUUUUGUGUUGGUCUACCAACAUUAUCUAAAGGUAGACUUCGGUCGGAGAAGACGGUGGAGGAUUGGUGAGCAUGUUAACGACUGCCCUCAUUGUAGGUCUUGCGCAGCUGUCGUUCUCGACACACAUCAUUGCUAUGUUGAACACGUACAGGACACCUUGCAAUGGGUACCCGCUGAGCUUGGGAUCUACCAGUGCCAAUAGUACUGCUGGUGAUGCAGGAGAUGGCUUAUAAGGGAUUUUUGACGUGGUCUUCCUCACCCAACUCACUAUGUUCAUGUCCUCAUCUUCCAAGUUCAUCACCGGUUUCCUCCCAGUUAUUAGCUCCAGCAGCACCACACCGAAACUGUACACGUCAAUUUUCUCAUCCACUUUCAGCGUAUAACC
rnacentral:lncRNA from 1 species